UAAUUUAAUUAAUUAAUUGAUUUUAUCUGAUUUUGUGAAAGUGUUCCACAUGGAAUCAACCACUUCCACACUAAAAGCCACGCCCAAAUAAUUUUGCACGGCCCAUUUAUUUUAUGUUAAGGAAGGAGAGUCCUUUAAUACUCCUCUUAAUUUCAUUACAUGUUCCACUUGUCCCUUAUAAUAUGCGCCAUAAGAUGAUGCCUAGAGACUUGUGGGCGUGAAGGAUUUGGGGGAGUCCUUUUGGAAGGAACUCCAUGCCAAAUAUUGAAGGGAUGCCUCCUUUAUUUUGGGCAUUGAAGUGGAAGAGUCCACUUCACUUGGGACUCUUUAUUUCUCCUUCAUUCUAUGCAUUUUCUUCCCUCCACCGGCCAUUUGAUGGCUUCUGGGAUAAUGUUGGCACAGAAGUGGAAGAGUCCUUCUGCUUGAAGGCUCUUCCACACCCAAAAACUUCUAUAUAUUAAUUGAUCCUUUAUGGGAAGUUAUGGACGGCACAUAGGAUGUGUUUGCGCCAAAUAUUUAUUUCUCCCUAAAUCUUUUCUUUAUUACAUGUCAAUUUUUUUGAGAUCUGAGAAGGAAGAGUCCUUCUGCUCCUUGACUUCUCCACGCCACAUCUUAAUGUGGUAAUUUUAACGUGUGAAGGAGUUGGGACGCCAAGAGUUGGCAUCCCUUGGAGGUUGUUUGGUGCCCCUUGGUUACCUAUAAAUAGGGGGUGCUACAACCAGGUUUCAUGUCCCUUUUUGGCUGGGAAUUGGCAUGAGGAUGAGAGAAAAUUGAGAGAAAAAUGCCUGGAUAAAGACCAAGGAUAAGGGAAGGAAAAAUAGAAAAAAAGAGAGGAAGCGAAAUGGAAAGUAUGAGAUACUUGUCCAAAAAUCAGAUUGUUCAUGUGUUGAACAUAAAAUUUGAUUAGAGUGUGGUUUGAAACUUUAGGAAAGAGUUUCUAGAGUGGUCCUAGUGAAGGUGAUGAAGGCAAACAAGCAAUGGUACAACCUGCUCUUGCAAAGGACGGUCGGCAGUGCACUUGCGAAGAAGGCUGCAGCACCAUGACG
rnacentral:lncRNA from 1 species